GGCGCCCGAGGCGAGGUCCGCACUCCUCGUUCGUCCCCGCGGCCGGCGCAGGACCUCACUCGAGCGCAGCGCCCACGGGGAGCGAGUCGCGGGGCGGCGGCGGCGGCGGCGGCGAGGAGGAGGCCAGAAGGAGUCGGAGGAGGCGGGGGAGGCCAGGGCGAGCGAGCCGAGCGGGGUCCCGGCCGCCCCGCGGGCCAAGGUCGAGCCCUCCCGCCCGUGGGCGAGCGCGCCAGCCGACCCUCCCGAGAGCCACUGCCACAAAGAGAACGGGCCGGCGGCUGCUCCCAUGACUUCCUAAAGCUGUGCCGGCCCCGCUGAGUUGUGCCCCGCGCCCCGUGCGUCCCCGCGCGCCCAACCCGCGCCCGCGCCCCGCCGGCAUGGACGUCCACACCCGCUGGAAAGCGCGCAGGCCGCUCCUCCCGGGCGCCCCGCUGCUGUCCCCGCCGUUGCUGCUGCUGCUGCUGCUGCUGUGGGCGCCGCCUCCGAGCCGCGCAGCUCAGCCAGCAGAUCUCCUGAAGGUUCUAGAUUUUCACAACCUGCCUGACGGAAUAACCAAGACCACAGGCUUUUGUGCAGCGCGGCGAUCUUCCAAAGGCCCGGAUGUUGCUUACAGGGUCACAAAAGAUGCCCAACUCAGCGCGCCCACCAAGCAGCUGUACCCUGCAUCUGCAUUUCCCGAGGACUUCUCCAUUCUAACCACUGUGAAAGCCAAGAAAGGCAGCCAGGCCUUCCUGGUCUCCAUCUACAAUGAGCAGGGCAUCCAGCAGAUCGGCCUGGAGAUGGGCCGCUCUCCGGUCUUCCUCUAUGAGGACCACACAGGGAAACCGGGGCCGGAGGACUACCCCCUCUUCAGAGGCAUCAACCUGUCAGAUGGCAAGUGGCACAGAAUCGCUCUCAGCAUCCACAGGAAGAACGUCACCUUGAUCCUGGACUGUAAAAAGAAGAUGACUACAUUCCUGGACCGCAGCAAUCACCCCGUGAUAGACGUUAACGGCAUCAUUGUGUUUGGCACCCGAAUUCUGGAUGAGGAGGUGUUUGAGGGAGACAUCCAGCAGCUGCUCUUCGUCUCGGACCACCGGGCAGCUUACGAUUACUGCGAGCACUACAGCCCUGACUGUGACACUGCGGUCCCUGACAAGCCCCAGUCUCAGGACCCCAAUCCAGAUGAAUAUUACCCGGAAGGAGAGGGUGAAGGAGACGCCUAUUACUACGAGUACCCCUACUACGAGGACACGGACGACGCGGGCAAGGAGCCCACCCCCACCAAGACACCAGUGGAAGCUGCUCGAGAGACCACGGAGGUGGCCGAGGAGCUGACCCAGCCCCCCACGGAAGCCCCUCCGGUGCCCGACACCAGCGAGGGGGCCGGGAAGGAGGAGGACCCCGGCAUCAGUGACUACGACUACGUGCCCAGCGAGGACUACUACACCCCACCCCCUUACGAGGACCUCAACUACGGCGAAGGCAUCGAGAACCCUGACGAGAACCCCGACCGGGGCGCCCGGGCCGAAGUUCCCACCAGCACGGUCCUCACCGCCAAUGCCUCUAACCCGGAUCCGCCUCCGGAGGAGGGGAUGGACGACUUGGAGGGAGAGUUCACAGAAGAAACCAUCAAGAACCUGGACGAGAACUACUACGACCCCUACUACGACCCCACCGCCCCCCCGUCGGAGAUCGGGCCGGGCAUGCCCGCCAACCAGGGCACCAGCUACGAAGGGAUCGGACCACGGGGCGAGAAAGGUCAAAAGGGAGAACCUGCCAUCAUCGAACCAGGCAUGCUCCUGGAGGGGCCUCCCGGCCCCGAAGGCCCCGCGGGUCUCCCAGGACCUCCAGGAACGAUGGGUCCCACUGGCCAAGUGGGUGACCCUGGAGAAAGGGGUCCCCCUGGACGCCCAGGCCUUCCUGGGGCUGACGGGCUGCCCGGCCCUCCUGGAACCAUGCUCAUGCUGCCGUUCCGGUUCGGAGGGGGCGGCGAUGCGGGCUCCAAAGGACCCAUGGUCUCAGCCCAGGAGUCCCAAGCUCAAGCCAUCCUCCAGCAGGCCCGGCUGGCGUUGAGGGGGCCGGCUGGCCCGAUGGGUCUUACUGGGAGACCUGGCCCCAUGGGCCCUCCCGGGAGUGGAGGUCUGAAGGGCGAGCCGGGAGACAUGGGGCCUCAGGGUCCCCGGGGUUUGCAGGGCCCACCUGGCCCGUCAGGAAAGCCUGGAAGAAGGGGGCGAGCUGGCAGCGACGGAGCAAGAGGGAUGCCUGGACAGACCGGCCCCAAGGGCGACCGCGGCUUCGAUGGCCUGGCUGGGCUGCCGGGAGAGAAGGGCCACCGGGGCGACCCUGGUCCUUCCGGCCCUCCGGGACCUCCAGGGGAAGACGGAGAAAGGGGUGACGAUGGAGAAGUCGGGCCCAGAGGGCUGCCCGGGGAGCCUGGGCCUCGUGGUCUGCUGGGGCCGAAGGGGCCCCCAGGCCCUCCUGGACCUCCUGGUGUGACGGGAAUGGACGGCCAACCAGGCCCGAAGGGCAAUGUGGGUCCCCAGGGAGAGCCCGGCCCCCCGGGACAGCAGGGUAAUCCAGGCGCCCAGGGUCUUCCGGGCCCCCAGGGUGCAAUUGGACCUCCAGGAGAAAAGGGCCCCCUGGGUAAACCAGGUCUCCCAGGAAUGCCCGGUGCUGAUGGACCCCCGGGGCACCCUGGCAAAGAAGGCCCUCCGGGAGAGAAGGGAGGCCAGGGUCCGCCCGGCCCCCAGGGCCCCAUCGGCUACCCAGGCCCUCGUGGAGUCAAGGGGGCAGACGGCAUCCGAGGUCUGAAGGGCACCAAGGGCGAGAAGGGUGAAGAUGGCUUUCCGGGCUUCAAAGGAGACAUGGGCAUCAAGGGAGAUCGGGGGGAGAUCGGCCCACCUGGUCCCAGAGGGGAGGACGGUCCCGAAGGCCCUAAGGGUCGUGGAGGUCCGAAUGGCGACCCGGGUCCUCUGGGACCCCCUGGGGAGAAGGGAAAACUCGGAGUCCCAGGAUUGCCCGGCUACCCAGGAAGACAAGGGCCAAAGGGUUCUAUCGGAUUUCCUGGAUUUCCUGGCGCCAACGGAGAGAAGGGUGGCAGGGGCACACCUGGGAAGCCGGGACCUCGGGGGCAACGAGGCCCAACGGGUCCACGGGGUGAAAGAGGCCCCCGAGGCAUCACUGGGAAGCCUGGCCCCAAGGGCAACUCUGGAGGCGAUGGCCCAGCCGGCCCUCCGGGUGAACGGGGACCCAACGGACCCCAAGGACCCACGGGGUUCCCUGGACCAAAGGGUCCCCCGGGGCCUCCGGGCAAGGAUGGGCUCCCGGGACACCCUGGGCAGAGAGGAGAGACGGGUUUCCAAGGCAAGACCGGCCCCCCAGGCCCCCCGGGUGUGGUCGGCCCUCAGGGUCCCACGGGAGAAACUGGUCCCAUGGGUGAGCGUGGCCACCCUGGGCCCCCGGGCCCCCCCGGUGAACAAGGGCUCCCGGGCCUGGCCGGAAAAGAAGGGACGAAGGGUGACCCAGGCCCCGCCGGCCUUCCUGGAAAAGAUGGCCCCCCAGGGCUACGUGGCUUCCCCGGGGACCGAGGGCUUCCUGGUCCAGUGGGGGCGCUUGGACUGAAAGGCAGUGAAGGCCCCCCCGGCCCGCCAGGCCCCGCGGGAUCUCCAGGGGAGAGAGGUCCGGCCGGUGCUGCUGGGCCCAUCGGAAUUCCAGGGAGACCUGGGCCCCAGGGACCUCCCGGGCCGGCUGGGGAGAAAGGAACUCCUGGCGAGAAAGGUCCACAAGGCCCAGCUGGCCGAGACGGUCUACAGGGUCCCGUGGGGCUCCCUGGUCCAGCUGGCCCUGUGGGUCCCCCUGGAGAAGAUGGAGAUAAGGGGGAGAUCGGGGAGCCGGGACAGAAGGGGAGCAAGGGAGACAAAGGCGAACAGGGUCCCCCUGGGCCUACAGGACCUCAAGGCCCCAUCGGACAGCCAGGCCCCUCUGGAGCUGACGGCGAGCCGGGUCCUCGAGGCCAGCAGGGCCUUUUUGGGCAGAAAGGUGAUGAAGGUCCAAGAGGUUUUCCCGGGCCCCCAGGACCCGUGGGGCUGCAGGGUCUGCCGGGACCUCCAGGAGAGAAGGGCGAGACGGGAGAUGUGGGGCAGAUGGGUCCCCCAGGUCCCCCCGGCCCCCGAGGACCCUCCGGAGCUCCAGGUGCUGACGGGCCGCAAGGCCCCCCAGGUGGAAUAGGCAAUCCUGGUGCAGUGGGAGAGAAGGGUGAGCCCGGCGAAGCUGGAGAGCCUGGCCUUCCCGGCGAAGGGGGCCCCCCGGGACCCAAAGGCGAAAGGGGAGAGAAGGGUGAGUCGGGCCCUUCUGGUGCUGCUGGACCCCCUGGACCCAAGGGCCCUCCCGGAGACGACGGUCCCAAAGGCAGCCCCGGCCCGGUCGGUUUUCCCGGAGAUCCCGGUCCCCCCGGAGAGCCUGGCCCUGCGGGUCAAGACGGUCCCCCUGGUGACAAAGGAGAUGACGGUGAAUCCGGACAAACGGGAUCCCCGGGCCCUACUGGUGAACCAGGUCCAUCUGGGCCUCCGGGAAAAAGGGGUCCCCCCGGCCCCCUAGGUCCCGAAGGCAGGCAGGGAGAGAAAGGAGCUAAGGGAGAAUCCGGCUUGGAAGGCCCUCCUGGGAAGACUGGCCCCAUUGGCCCCCAGGGGGCCCCUGGGAAGCCCGGGCCCGAUGGCCUGCGAGGGAUCCCCGGCCCUGUGGGUGAGCAAGGUCUCCCAGGAGCCCCAGGCCCCGAUGGCCCCCCCGGCCCCAUGGGUCCCCCAGGACUCCCUGGCCUCAAAGGAGACUCUGGACCCAAAGGCGAAAAGGGACAUCCAGGCUUGAUCGGGCUCAUCGGACCUCCGGGCGAACAGGGAGAAAAGGGUGACCGCGGUCUCCCCGGCCCCCAGGGCUCCUCUGGCCCUAAGGGAGAACAGGGUAUCACUGGUCCUUCCGGCCCGAUUGGCCCCCCGGGCCCCCCUGGCUUGCCGGGCCCUCCUGGUCCAAAAGGUGCUAAGGGAUCCUCAGGUCCGACUGGCCCGAAGGGUGAAGCAGGCCAGCCAGGACCCCCUGGCCUGCCGGGCCCCCCGGGCGAGGUCAUCCAGCCGCUGCCGAUCCAGGCGUCCAGGACCCGGCGGAACAUCGACGCCAGCCAGCUGAUGGGCGACGGAGAGGGCGAGCAUUACAUGGACUACGCGGACGGCAUGGAGGAGAUCUUCGGCUCCCUCAACUCGCUGAAGCUGGAGAUCGAGCAGAUGAAGCGGCCCCUGGGCACGCAGCAGAACCCCGCGCGCACCUGCAAAGACCUUCAGCUCUGCCACCCUGACUUCCCCGACGGUGAAUACUGGGUGGAUCCGAACCAAGGCUGCUCCAGGGACUCCUUCAAAGUCUACUGCAACUUCACAGCCGGGGGGUCGACGUGCGUCUUCCCCGACAAGAAGUCCGAGGGGAGUAAAAUGGCCCGCUGGCCCAAAGAGCAGCCCUCCACCUGGUACAGUCAGUACAAGCGAGGGUCCCUGGAUCCGUCCUACUUGUGCCCCGCCCCUGCUGUGGCUGGGGGCCGAGGGGCCAUUCCGGUUGCCGACGGGACUCUGGGCUUCUCCGUUGCAUCGCACACGACCACGCUGGUCCCUGUGUUAACUUCUGGGGAGCCGGUCUUAAAUAGGCCAUCCCGGAGGUGAAAGGCAACUGGCAUCCCUCUAAAGAUCUGGAUGUGAUGCUUUUCUAGCCGGUAUAGAGGCCGAGGCCAUUUGGACCCGAUCGUAUGGGCCCAGCGACUGCUUCCAUGCGGCAGGGUGUUUUCCCUGAACGUCUCGGGAGUUUGAUUUGGGCCCGUUUCUGGAAUCAAGUGCAGAGUUCUGUGCUCCCUUCCCGGCAAGUUCUAGGACUAGGUUCCAGAUGUGGCCGCGUUGCAGGUGCCACGAGAGCCCCCUUUGCUUCCUGCGUUCACUCUUCGGCUAGUGUCCCACCUGGGCCAUCCUUGAAGGACGUCCUUCUCACUCAGAAGCCAGCUCUCGGGUCCACGACUUCGGGCCCGACCCUCUGCCCUCAGUUGGCUCCCCGGGGGUCCCAGGGCCACGUUCCCCCAGGACUCAGAGUAGGGCCUUCCAGCAGCCUCUGCCCGCUGCACUUGGAGACCCCCGUUGCUAGGCCCGGAGGGGCUCCGUGCUCACAAUUAAUAUCUCACGCCCUGUGUCCUUGAUUCCCAGUCACUGCGGCUCUUUCCAGACACUGAAGGUUUGCGCUCACCUUGGCACGUCCGGGGACUUCCUCUCGUCUCUGUGUGGGGACCUCCGGCACCCUCGCCCCCUUUUUCUCCUGCUGUUUCUCCUCUCCUUCACCUCCUCGGUGCUGUCCUCGGGAAGGAGCCGCUGGCAGGCAGAAGGACCUGAAGUGGACGCCCACUCGGGGGGGCAGUGCCCAGGGCACUUGAGCCGGGUGGAUAGACGGGGUGGUGGGCACAGGGGUCAGGAGGAGCCGGGGCCGUGGUCCUUUCUGCAGCCGUGCUGGCGGCCUUCUCCAGACAGGGCCCCACACCCCCAACCCCUUGCUCUGUGGAAGCGGGUAGAGAACACCCACUUUCAGCCGCCAGCCCAGAGCCUGCCUGCUGCUUGGGUCCUGUUUCGCAGACAGUUGACCAAAGAUGGAGGUGAAGGGACAGUCCAGGGGAAGCAUCAGCUCGUCUUUGGCAUUUUCCUGCUGCAUCAUUUCUAGCAGCCUGUGACCAUCAGAGUGGACAGGGCGUAAAUACAGGUCCCUCCCCGAAGAAACAGGUGCUUUUCUGGGCUGUCUGCCCUGGGCAUCCCACGUGAAGGUGCUACUGCAGAGCUGCUUUCCCGCAGGAGGGCGGGGCCUCACGCCGGGGCUCUGGGACUCCAUCGUGGGGCGGGGCUCGGCCGUGCCUGGUCCUUCUCCGCCUGCCUGGCACUGGGGGCUUCAGGUCCUUCUGCGUCCAGCGCUGCCCCACCUCUCUCUGUGCAUGCGUCUUUCCUCCAGUCAGUCACCUUCCGUCCAGGAGGAGCACCCGACGGCCCAGACUGCGGUUGGUAUUCACUCUCUCUCCUCAAGGUCCGGCUGGAAGUCGGUGUCUGGUGGCUGUGUGGGGAGCUGGCCAGCAGCUCUGUGCUCUCCCCGCUCCGGUGGGAAGGGCAGGAUCCCAGGCCUGGCUCACCGCCUUCAGCUCUAAUUACAUAGAUAUCUCUAUACAUACGUGCACAACAUCAACUUAAAUUCUCCCUCGUGUGUUCAGCACGGCUCUUUUAGGGUAGGCUGGGGGCUAGGGUCCGAGACAGAGCAGCGGGGGAGCGGCCGUGUGCAGGGAGGAGAAGCGCGGGUCUCAGAUCCUGACGUCCGUCUGUGCGUCGUCUGUCGGGGAGACGUGAUGGGCCAAGCCUGCUCUGCUGGGUGUGUGAGGAGAGCCUGGCCUCUCACGCUGAGGGCCUUCAGGGAGAGGAGAGACCCGCCUCGUCCCAGGGGCUGAGGACUGUCCCCGCCCCUGCUGUGUCCAGCAGCUCAGAAAGCUGCAGUUCAGAAGACGCAGAAACUGAUCUGUCUCUCGGGACGCCUGGCACUGGCCCGCGCCCGGCUGAGCUCUCAGCCCAGUGUGCAUCCGACCUGUGACGCUGAGAAGCCACUUGAGAACCAGCACUCUCUCCCGGGUGCUGCCCUGGGUUUGCUGGCAGAGAGCGGGGCUUUCAGCGAGGCUCCUGCCACCAGAGCGCCCCGGGCUGCCCGCUCAGUGUGGGCAAGGCUGACCACCCCGGGCCACAGCACGGCCCACUCUGCUUUCCCCUGGAUUCCACGCCCGGGAAGGGGCAAGAAGGGCCUCUCCCCGGUGCCUCCACGAUGGUGCCUGGUCCCUCCAGGCUUCUGGCUCUUGGCCAUAUGUCCUGUGACCCUCUCACAGGCCGGCCUUCCUGUUUUCUGGCCAAGACCCCAUGCCUCAGGCCCCUUCCUCCCCGAAGCCAUCUGCCCUUUCUGUCUCCAAUUCUCGUGGCCCGGGCCAGGUCCUUGUACGUCACAGAGAUCCAGUGGUUUUCAUGUAUUAGCAUGAUCUAAUGAGCACCUUCUUUUCUCCGGCAUCGGGGCACAGUAACGGGGAUGCACAUGCCAAGCCCGUGCCCUCAGGGUCCUCACGGUCCUCACGGUCCAGGGAGGGCUGCAGACCAGGCCCCAGGUGCCUCUGACACAGGAGUCCAGUGCUGGUGUGGAGGGCCUUACAGCCGGUAGGAAAGAUGGACACUGCCGGGAUAACCCCGGCAGGCUUCCUGGAGGCAGAGGCACAUGAGCUGAACCCUGGAGGCUGAAUAGGGACCAACCAGCUCUCCUAUGUGGACACUGAGGGCAACCCCGUGGGCGUGGUCCAGAUGACCUUCCUGCGGCUGCUCAGCGCCUC